rnacentral:rRNA from 1 species
UACGGGGGGAGCAAGCGUUGUUCGGAUUUACUGGGCGUAAAGGGCGCGUAGGCGGCCACCGCAAGUCGACUGUGAAAUCUCCGGGCUUAACUCGGAAAGGUCAACUGAUACUGCGGGGCUAGAGUGCGGAAGGGGCAACUGGAAUUCUCGGUGUAGCGGUGAAAUGCGUAGAUAUCGAGAGGAACACCUGCGGCGAAGGCGGGUUGCUGGGCCGACACUGACGCUGAUGCGCGAAAGCCAGGGGAGCGAACGGG